rnacentral:rRNA from 1 species
GACGAACGCUGGCGGCGUGCCUAAUACAUGCAAGUUGAGCGCUGAAGGUUGGUACUUGUACCAACUGGAUGAGCAGCGAACGGGUGAGUAACGCGUGGGGAAUCUGCCUUUGAGCGGGGGACAACAUUUGGAAACGAAUGCUAAUACCGCAUAAAAACUUUAAACACAAGUUUUAAGUUUGAAAGAUGCAAUUGCAUCACUCAAAGAUGAUCCCGCGUUGUAUUAGCUAGUUGGUGAGGUAAAGGCUGACCAAGGCGAUGAUACAUAGCCGACCUGAGAGGGUGAUCGGCCACAUUGGGACUGAGACACGGCCCAAACUCCUACGGGAGGCAGCAGUAGGGAAUCUUCGGCAAUGGACGAAAGUCUGACCGAGCAACGCCGCGUGAGUGAAGAAGGUUUUCGGAUCGUAAAACUCGGUUGGUAGAGAAGAAAGUUGGUGAGAGUGGAAAGCUCAUCAAGUGACGGUAACUACCCAGAAAGGGACGGCUAACUACGUG